UACAGAGGCCCCAAGCGUUACUGAGAAUCACUGGGCUUAAAGGGCGCGUAGGUGGUCCGUUAAGUUCGUUGUGAAAUCCCUGGGCUCAACCCAGGAAAUGCUUCGAAUACUGGCGGACUUGAGGCUAGUAGAGGUCACUGGAACUGACGGUGGAGCGGUGAAAUGCGUAGAUAUCGUCAGGAACGCCGAUGGUGAAGACAGGUGACUGGGCUAGUUCUGACACUGAGGCACGAAAGCGUGGGGAGCGAACGGG
rnacentral:rRNA from 1 species